UGGAGAAAAUACAGCUAAAAACGAACUACACUGAGGCUAACUUCAACACUACAAACGUGGUAGCUAACUGCUGUGAGAGUUUAGUUGUAAGUUCAGUGUUUAGAUGUAGCGCUUGAGAGACUAGCAGCGUCGGUAGCUUUGAUGUCCGUAGGAUUUCCCGCGACGCGCAGUCUUUGCUGAUUCAAGAGCGAGGUAAUUCAUUUAAAACUGCUUUUGUUCAUUCUUUAUCACCUUACUGUGAAAGCUAAUUUAUUUUGCACUGAGAGAAAGUACUGAAAGUCGCAUACGGUCUCGUAUGUUUCGGUUUUAGAAGACCUUGUGGCUUUACUGGGCGCCGCCAUUUUGGGUGUGUGUGUCCAGCCGCUCUGGUGAAAUCGGUUUUUUUUUGUGUGUGCGUGUUUCUUCUUCCAUUGUCUGGAUUGGAUCUGCGGAUGAAAAUUGAUGGCGAGCCGUCCCUCUUGAAUGAUCGUGGGAGCCAUUCCCUCUUCAGGAUCACUGGAUCUGUCCCGCUACUACUGCACUUUGCGGUGUGGUAGGUCCCACUACAACACACAACCCCUUCACUCACCUUCACACUCCUUCCCCCACACACAUACAUACACCAACCCUAUGGAACUCUGAACUCUGACUUACCUUCGACACAUCCAUUUUUUUGUUUGGACUUUGGACUCACUUAAACAAACUCACCUGUUCACACCUUGGGACUGAGAAUGUGGAGCUGAGUAGUAGGAAUCAUUCCUGCAGUUAAGGGUUACUGUUGUGCUGUGUGAAUUCUACUGGAUUGUAUUAUUGAACUGGAUCUGAACAAACUUUGUGGUGUUAUUAACAGAAAUUCAGGUUAAAUGGUGCACCGGGAAUUUGAUGAUAGAACUACCUCAAAGAGUGAAAUACUCACUUUAAAUUUGGAAAGCAAGCAUUUCAUGCUGAUGUCAUAGCCUGAUUGUGAUAUCAAUAAUUGCCUUGUUCAUUACUUGUUUUAUUAUUGUACUUUUUCAUUUUUGGAACCAACCAAUAAUUUUAUUUUUAUACAUAUCUUCAAAUAUAAGAAGCCGGCACCAUCUUACGUCUAAUCCUUGGUCUCUGAGCCGAACCAACCGACUUAACCAACCAAUCAGAUCACGGCCCUACCCAUAAUCCUUCCUGUGUGCUACAUAAGCAUUGGAAAGCAUCGUCCGUGUGGAAGGCAGGAUCAUAAAGUAAGACAAGGCAAAGGAAGUAUGCCAAAUAAAUGCCUCACAAUGAGGGUGAAGGAAAAUGUGAAACAAAGAGAGACAUACCAUUAGAGAUGAGAGGUUAUGUGUUGGAGUAAAAACUGGUAAACUGAGUGGAAAACAGCUCCUAAAAUCCUUCUGCCAGUUGUAAAAUAUAUGAC